UCUCACGCUCGCUCUGCUCUAUCACAUAAUACCACUUCUGCAGCUCCCUGCGAAUAAUCAAACCACUUCUGCAGAUCCCUGCGAACAAUCAAACAAUCAAACCAGCGUCGCAACCGCAAACCACCAAAAGGUUUCGAAAUUUGUUGGAUGAUUCGUAGUGGUGUUUAGAGAGAGAUAAUACUGAACGUUUGAAUUGUUGCAAGCAGCAGCAGGUUAGGUACUCUCAAUUUCCUCAAAUGGCUAGUAUCCAUGAUGAGCCGGAAAUUUCUCCCGAGGAGGAGGAGCAUAUGAAGAACAUGGCUAGAUACAGGGACCAUUUGAUAGCAAAAACAAUUGAGCGAAGAGAACGUGCUGCCAAAGAGGCUAUAGC